rnacentral:sRNA from 1 species
ACACCACCAGCAGUAGCAGCACCAGCAGCAGCACCACCACCACCAACACCACCAACAGCAGGAGCCUACCAAAAUCAAGAAGCCAGCUAUGCUAAAAAGAGAAUGCACAGGCUUUCCUAAAUGCAUGCCAGGUAAAAAGUGAUCUCAUUUGGAAGAGAAGAGUUCUCACAGACUAGCCCAGGUUAGUCUUUCAAUCCUCUGUCCUAGUCUCUUAUAUUUAUUUAUUGAAGUAGGGUCUGUCUACACAGCCUUGGCUGUACUGGAAAUCAUUAUAUAGACAGAUCAGGCUGCCCUUGAAUUUAAGACAUCUGCCUGCCUCUGCCUCCCAAGUGCUGGGAUUAAAGACCUGUGUCACGUGACCCCGCUUGCCUCUGAACACUUUUAAUCAGGUGUCAAACAUAUCUGUUUUGUAAGUAAACUGGACUCAAAAGUUUAAGAGUUUAUUUUACGUUAAACUGUAAUAGUUGAAGAUACACAGGAUUUUGUCAUGUAUGCAUGUUGAUGACAUAAUUUAGAUGGUGAUUUGAGGCUCGCCAUGACUACAACAUUCAAAACUAACCAUAUCUUGUUUCUAAAUUUAAAAAGAAUUGAUUUUAAAAUCAAUGUGCUAAACCUCGAACUCUAACCAUCUAAAGCACAAUGUCAGCCAGGAGUAGUGGUGCGUGCUUGUAAUUCUAGCUCUCCGGAGGCUGGGGCAGGCUACACGGUGAGUUUAGUGUCAGCCUGGGGAACGCCGGUCUUCAACAAAGAAAAAAGGUAUCGGUUGGGAACAAGCUCCACAAGUGCAAUUUGAUUGGCUGUGGCUUUUCCGUAAUGGUCUCCAGCUGCUGCAAUGAGACGUUUCCUUGUUGAGGACGAGGAUUACACUUAUCAAAAUAUUUAAAAGAAGGAGAGGAGGAAGAAGAGGAAGAGGAGGAGAAGAAAGUCCCAGGCUGUCAUCCGUGGUAAGGUGGCCUCUCCAGGUAGUGAUCAGCUCUCAGGUUGAGGGCAGAGAAUGCCCGGAGUUUCUUCCAGACGUGCCCAUACAUGCAAGCCAUCAAGUGGACAGAGAGACACCUGGGUCCAUGCUAGAAUCCCAGCACGACAUGAACACACAUUGUCUACGGUGAGGGAGCAGACAGUGGAGACCUCCAAACACACUUUUCUUCCAUUUACGUCGGGGGUUGUUUGCCUGUUUCUUUUUGUUAUUGUUUUUGAGACAGGGCUUCUCUGUAACAGCCAUGGCUGUCCUUGAACUUGAAGUGGUGGGUGCUGGGAUUGAAGACACCCACCACUAUGCCCAGCCAUUUAAAGACAUUAUAUGCUAUCACUCACAGUUGGCUGAAAGAUAAGUUGUUGGUUUUUCAAGACAGCGUUUCUCUGUGUAGCCUUGGCUGGGCUGGAACUCAGAGCUCCACCUGUCUCUGCCUCCCACGUGCCAGGAUUAAGGCAUGUGUCGCCCCUGCUCAGCUUCAAAGAUAAUUUUUUAAAAAUCACAACCUAACACAAAAACUAGUGCUUUCUCUUUUCCCAUGUUGAUUAUUUCCCAAAACAACAAGAAGCAAACACCUCGGUGUGGCUGUGCUCUGUAAUUAAUUUCUGCUGCAGCCGCCAGCCCAUCUACAAAGAGGUGAAUUGUCUUAGGUGGCCACGCUUGAAAGAACGGAGCCAUGAUGGCGCUCAGCAAGGAGGCAACAUAUUUAUCAUUCACAAUCGUCGCCCUCCCCCAGGAAAUGUGUAUGGCAUUUUUGAGGCACAAAGAGCAGAGCCCUGCUUAGUGGUCCCUGGGCACACCUGCGAGCCUACCUUCAUACAAUACCAACAAGCCAGACAAUUCACCAUCCUCAAGAACAUAUUCUUCAAACCUAUUGUCUGGGUAAGUCAAACACAAACACGACACUAUCAACACAUAAUUAUCCGACAGGCCAACCAGAUGCUCAUUAUGGGAAGAGGAAGCUAACUCAUAGCAUCUGGGUUCUGGAAAUAGUUAAGCCAGGCUCUCUUCUGCCAGAGAAACAGAGCCAACCUAGCUAGGAGAGUCCUCCCUCCCCUUGUGUUGGAGUCCUUUUGGGUUUGGAGACCACGAAAAGGGUUAAAAAUCCUUGAGACUACCAAAACAGAUUAGCAGGACAUCUGGGUGCUUCGGCUGUCACCGGAGGGGCAGCCCUCGGAGGGAAUGCGGGUCCCCACUCAGGUUAUCAGAUGGACAGCUGAUCAACAUGAAACAGACUUGCUCUGGGCAGGCUGCGCUGAGCUUCCUGACAGGAAUCCCAAUGAGAGCCCUCUGCACUCUGCCGUUGAGCGCUGCCAUUUUUCACUGCUGCAGCUCCCUGGACAUAUGGGAAUCCCUAGUGAGGAGUACAUAAAGCCGCUCGAACUCAAGUGACGGCUCAUUUCCCCUGGCUGAAGGCAGACAUUAAUAUCCUGAGGAGAGCACACCCGCCUCUCUGACCCUCACCUACCCAAGCAAAACCACUGUCCUAUUUCUUCAUGUAAUAAGCUUUUAAUGAAGAAAACCAAAAUCUCGUCCCUCACUGCAAUGCAGUUCUACAUGAAAAGGUUAUACAAAUACAUCAGAUCUCCUGUCAAAGUUUCCCACAGUCACUGUCCCCGGCCCCACAGGAGUGCGCGGCCUGUCACUCCCCCUCCCGUAGAGCUCGAUCUUUCUGCUGAGGCCCUGGAGUUCUCUGCUCUGAUAAUUACGAUUUUCUUCCGGCAUGGCAGGUAGAGGAUUAAAGAAGUGAUUACGAAGAGCUCGCUGCUACCCCCAUUUUCAUUACAAAUCCCCCUUGUCCAGGGCUCAUCAUUUAGACAUGAAUCUGCUUCAGGCACAAUCAAGACCGGGAGGAAUGACAGUUCAGUGGCAUAACCCACCAGGAAAGGACCCAAGUUACACCGGAAUAUGAGAAAGCCACAAGCACAGGAUGAAUCGGACGGAGCUGGUCUCACACACGCUAGUCUCAAAGGGUUAAUGGGGAAUCUGCGAAAGCAAAGGAAGACAGGCAGACUUUUACCUGUGACUAUGGAGACUGACCACAAUAAGGGGGAUUUGAACGGUAAUGGGCCCAGUGGCCAGCGCCAGGGCUCAGUGAGUUCUGAAUGGCCUCAGGAGAGGUGGGGGUUUAGUUUUUCCCUCAUGAGGGCAAGCGGGGGUUAGGAAGGCUGCAGGUGAAAUGGUCUGCAGUGAGCAACACAGCAGGGAGGAGCUGAUGUGCAGAGACCUCUGUGAGAGAAGAGAACCUCGCAGGUUCCUUUAGAGCACAAACUCUGUCUUGGCCGGGAGAGGUGAAGGUAAAAUGGGAUAAGGGCUGAAGACCUGUGAAGAAUGUCAGGACACAGGCUGUUCAGUUCUGUGCUUUAAGUCACGUUAUUUACUGUUUUCCAAUCUGUCUAGAUAUCCAGAAACACAGCAGUACAUCCUACGUGUCCCAGGGUGUCUAAACCAGCCACGCAGUAGACGCAACAGGCAAGAGGCCAAUGCAGAAUCAAACGCCUGGUGGUGUCACAGCCGCAGCCUCACCUCUCAGUGCUUGACAGCUGCUGUUCGCAAAGCACCACCGAGAGCCCAGGGACAACUGUAGUGCCGAGAUCUGGGAAGGAGACCAACAGAACACCAGGCCAGCCGCCCAGGCACAGUCUCCACACAGAACACCAGGCCAGCCCCUGAGGCACAGUAUCCUCACAGAACACCAGGCCAGCCAGUCAGGCACAGUCUCCACACAGAACACCAGGCCAGCUGCCCAGACACAGUCUCCACACAGAACACCAGGCCAGUCACCCAGACACAGUCUCCACACAGAACACCAGGCCAGUCACCCAGGCACAGUCUCCUCACAGAACACCAGGUCAGCCGCCCAGGCACAGUCUCCACACAGAACACCAGGCCAGACACCGAGGCACAGUCUCCACACAGAACACCAGGCCAGCCCCUGAGGCACAGUAUCCUCACAGAACACCAGGCCAGCCGCCCAGGCACAGUCUCCACACAGAACACCAGGCCAGACACCCAGGCACAGUCUCCACACAGAACACCAGGCCAGCCACCCAGACACAGUCCACACAGAACACCAGGCCAGUCACCCAGACACAGUCCACACAGAACACCAGGCCAGACACCGAGGCACAGUCUCCACACAGAACACCAGGCCAGCCGCCCAGACACAGUCCACACAGAACACCAGGCCAGACACCGAGGCACAGUCUCCACACAGAACACCAGGCCAGCCCCUGAGGCACAGUCUCCUCACAGAACACCAGGCAAGCCGCCCAGGCACAGUCUCCUUACAGAACACCAGGCCAGACACCGAGGUACAGUCUCCAUCACAUUCAAAGUGAAGAAGGACAGUAGUUCAACACCCAGGACACAGGGGACAGUUGUCAUCUAACACCCAGACAGACAUCUCAUUCUCUUUAUCUGCCAGGUUUUCAGAACACUAAAAAGUAGGAAAAAGGCAAACAAACAAAAACUAGUUUAUGUCCUGAUUUUAGAGACUAUACGCAGACACAGACAUGCACACACACCAAGAACACUUGUGAGCAGCAACAUGGAUUGGUCACUGGAAAGUCAUUUACUCAUCAGUAUUCCAACAGUUUUAAUUCCACUUCCCACCAAGAAGAAAAAUGUCAGGGAAUAUUUAGAGGCACUAUUACCAGUACAGUAUCAGUCCAGGAAAGGACAUAACCAGAAUAGUAAAUAUAAAAAUACAAUGGCAUUUAUGAAUACCUUCUAAAAUAUUCAGAUCCUAUAGAAUAUUCUUGCUAUCUAUCAUAUAUGAAAUUUCAGACAACGGAACUGGUCAGAAAAACUGUGACUAUAUUCAGAGAUACCUGCUUUCCUUAAAAAAUGAAAAAUAAUUGCUUUAAUGAGGUAUAACAUAUAUUAUAAAAAAUUCACAUCUAAAGCUUAUUCUUCAGUGAGUUUUAAGCAAUCGGUUUGGGUUAUAACUCAGUGGAGAGCACUUGCUUAGCACGUAUGAACCCUGGAUUUGAUCCCCAGCCCCUGCAAAGGCGGCGGUGGUUAAAAGCAUCUGCACACAUGGGCAAAUGCGGCUGCGCUCUAAGGUCAGAGCGUCUCCACGCCUCGAACCGUAUGAGUCAACCCUCGUUUAGGCUGUUCUACUUGACUGUAAUUUUGUUUGUAAGUAUUUGGAGUUGUUACUGAAAUGAAUUAUAAAAACAAUAAAGUAAAAUAGAAAUGUCAAAAUUGUUACUGAAAAAUAUUAUGGCAAACAGGAAAACACAUUAAACCCCUCCCCGCCCCCCAUUUCUCUCUUUCUCCCAAAGCCAAACAUAAAUAAAAGACCUAUCUGGUGCUUAAGCGUAAACUUAAAAAUGUAAAGCUACGUGUAAGUUAUUUUUAAAACUGGAUGCAGGGAUUGUGUUUCUGUACUGUGUCUGUGUCCAACUUUCAAAUGAAUCACUUAGUAAACAUUCCGUUUGUUUAUUUGCCAAGAAUAACAUUGUUUCUCAGGAAUCACAAUGCGCUGCCAAUCCCUACGUGCGGGCUCUUCUUAACUGCAUUCUUUGCACAGCGCUUCUAUCAGUCACUUCCUAUUGCUAUGACGAAACACCACAACGAGGUGACUGACAGACGGAAGGGUUUGUUUGGGGCCUGCAGUUCCAGAGGGCGGGCUCCAUAAUGACUGGGGCAGCGGGCAGCAGGUAUGGUGACGGUGCCGAGCUGAAGGCUUGUAUCGGGAACCACAGACAGGAAGCAGAGAGGGUGGCGUAGGGAUGACAGGAAGCAAUGAAACCCGAAGCCUGUCCUCUAGUGACACACUCCCUCCAGAGGGCCUCCUCAUCCUCCCAAAGUCUCACUCCGCCUGAGAACGAGCGUGCAAGUGCGGAGCCUGUGGGAAACACCGCUCAAAGCACUGUGAUGACUGACUGACUGGCUGGCUGGUCAGUUGGUUGAUGAAUUGAUUGGUUGAUGAAUUGAUUGGUUGAUGAAUUGAUUGGUUGACCUACUAUUGAUGCCCGAUUGAUUGGCUGACCUACUGAUUGAUGACUGAUUGAUUGAUUGACCUACUGAUUGAUGCCUGAUUGGCUCAUUUUUCAGGUCUGGAGAUGGAACCCACUAGAGCUAACUCUCCAGGCCUGCAGUUUUGUUUGGAUCCAACGUUGAGGUUAAGCAGCAAAUAUGAGUUUUAAUCACAAUUUCAUGCUAAAAAGGUUCUCUUCGUUCAUUAAUUAAAACUUGUGUGCGCACACACACACCAGCAUAUAAACAUAUGGCAUGGCAUAUGUGUGGGGUCAGUGGACGACUGUGGGGAACCAGGAACCGAACCAGGUUACUGAGGAAGUACGUGAGCGAGGCUGCAGUACCACAGCUGGCACACAGUGGCUUCCACAGGGAAAGGCGGAGCUCUUGCUGCAUGUUCAUAACAUGUCAAAGACAGUUGUGGUCUGGAAGACAUAUGUGAUGGUCAAGAGACAGCGUCUAGACAGCAGAGGAGUUUGAGGGGACAUCAGGAACCUAACGGGUCCCAGAGGAGGCGGAGUACAGCUCCUCCAAAGAGAGAGAAUGUAUUAUACUCCAU